ACGGGGGGUGCAAGCGUUGUUCGGAAUUAUUGGGCGUAAAGAGCGGGUAGGCGGCGUGAUAAGUCAGAUGUGAAAUCCCUGGGCUCAACCCAGGAAGUGCAGUUGAAACUGUGGAGCUGGAGUACGGGUGAGGAAGGAAGAAUUCCUGGUGCAGCGGUGAAAUGCGCAGAGAUCAGGAGGAACACCGAUGGCGAAGGCAGCUUCCUAACCCGUCAUUGACGCUGAGCCGCGAAAGCGUGGGUAGCAAACAG
rnacentral:rRNA from 1 species